rnacentral:tRNA from 1 species
GCAGAAGUGGCUUAGUGGGAGAGCAUUUGCCUAGCAAACAUAAGGCCCUGGGCUUGAGCCCCGGCAUCACCA